UGCUUCUUCUUCUUCGGUCUCUUUUCCGUGUAUAAAAUUACGUCGUGUUACGUACAUAUACAUACUUAUUUGUUAUUGUUGCUGCUUUUAUAUAGGUACUGCGGGCGCAAGUACACAGCUGCUGACGCUGCGAUGACGUCGCCGGCGUCGUGUUGGUGUUGUCAUUUCGGCUGUUCAUAUUGGAAAUCGUUCGCUUACUCAUUUGCUCGCACACUCAUUCGCAUAGUUUACUCGUGCGCUCACUCUCUCGUACCUACGUAUUUGUUGCUGUUGUGCUUUAUAUUCGGUAUGAAUGGGAAACUUGUGUAUUCUGUUUGUUUUUGUUGUGAUUACCUUCAAGCCAUGUGCGCGCGAACAUGUGGUGCUGUCAUUUUGGCGUCGGCUGUUGUUGUUGUUUCUAUUGUUAUGUGGAAUGCCAAUGGGAAAAUCGGAGUGGUUUGUAGGAGGAAGCAUCGAAAGCCGGAGUGCGGGACUUUAAUCCGCUAAACCUAACCUACUCCCACCUCAUGUCUCUCCCACGGGACCACUAGACAAAGCAUUACUUCAUGCGUACAAAUAUGUACAUACAUACAUACAUAUAUGUAUGUAUAUGCACUUUAGCUGUAAUUAUAAAUAAAAUAACGUAUAAAUACCAUUUACCGUAUGUCCGCCUAUUUCCGGAAAAUUGUGAGACGAGAACGGUUAAGCAUCCUGAAAGCCAAAUGGUCUGGGCGUGCUUUUCUUUUUAUAUCCGAGGUCCUUUGCUUUUUAUUGAUGGGAUGAUGAAUGCUCAGAAGUAUGGAGAAGUUGUAUCCCAUUUUAUUGCGCCCGUCGUAGAAGAACAAUAUGGGCAUACUUCUGAGGCCAUCUUUCAGGACGACUCCACACCGUGUCAUCGGGCUAAAUCGGUUCAGGAAAUGUUUGCAGACCUUGGGGUAUCGCAUAUGACAUGGCCGGGAAAUUCUCCCGAUUUGAAUCCGUUCGAGAAUAUUUGGCAUGCCAUAAAAAUGAAAGUAGCUCAAGACCGGCUAAAUUCAAAGACCGAACUGAAAAAAAUACUUAAUAAGGUGUGGGAGCAGGGAAUUUCAAUUGAAUACCUUGAAAACCUCGUUGUUUUAAUGCCAGCCCGGGUCGAAGCAGUUAUAGCCGCCAAAGGUGGUUCAACUGCAUAUUAAACCUUUUAAUUAAAUUAUCAUAUCAAAAAAGCGGCCACAAGUGCAUGUGUGUGCAGGGUUCUAGCACACGAAUUCUCCAAACGGUUUUUAAAAUAAAUAUUUUUCUUACUGGGUA